rnacentral:rRNA from 1 species
UGGGGAAUAUUGCACAAUGGGCGCAAGCCUGAUGCAGCCAUGCCGCGUGUAUGAAGAAGGCCUUCGGGUUGUAAAGUACUUUCAGCGGGGAGGAAGGGAGUAAAGUUAAUACCUUUGCUCAUUGACGUUACCCGCAGAAGAAGCACCGGCUAACUCCGUGCCAGAAGCCGCGGUAAUACGGAGGGGGCAAGCGUUAAUCGGAAUUACUGGGCGUAAAGCGCACGCAGGCGGUUUGUUAAGUCAGAUGUGAAAUCCCCGGGCUCAACCUGGGAACUGCAUCUGAUACUGGCAAGCUUGAGUCUCGUAGAGGGGGGUAGAAUUCCAGGUGUAGCGGUGAAAUGCGUAGAGAUCUGGAGGAAUACCGGUGGCGAAGGCGGCCCCCUGGACGAAGACUGACGCUCAGGUGCGAAAGCGUGGGGAGCAAACAGG